UCCGUAAAUCCGUAAUAGUAUGUGGAGCGAUAUGUUUGUUGUUGGUUACAAACAAAAACAAAUUAAUAAUAGUGUGGUAACGGGAUUACUGUGUUCAGUCAUGCACGAUUUGAAUUCAAAAAACGUUACCGAAGAUCUGCAGUUUUUGUACAUUUUAAUACAUGGGUGUAAGUGGUUGUACAUCACUAGUGUACCACUUUUGCUGUUAAUCAAAGCCUGUGAACAAAUAGUACAGUAACUUGAAGAAUGAGCAUGUAAUGCGAUGCAGAUUCAUGUUACACUCCAGGACUGCCAUGUGAGAGAGUCUGCUCUGUCUGUUGUUCGUGCUGGCUGUGCGCGGGAUUUCCGAGGUGGGCCAAAAGUGCAGGCUGCUCCUGUGGGUAUCUGUAACGGAUCGGGCCUGCCGACCUAAAGCCAUUUGGUUCCCACUGAGGUGCAGGCCCUGCCUGUCGGAUCUAGUCUCACCGACCUGCCCGCAGGCUGGGUCUGUUUGUGUGUGACGUAAUGCAGCAGAUUUUCACGGUUUAUCCGUGGGCCCAGGACUGUGGUGUUCCCCGGCAGGCCAGAGGCCGUGGGCGAUGGACUUCAGGAAUUACAACUGUCUCGUCAUAAAUACCUGGCCAAUGAGAUGAAGUUGUACCACUUCCAUCAGUCCAGACAUUUGUCAAAGAAGUGCAGUUUAUGAAUGACCAAGUGGAUGAAGCGGCCACACUCUCACCGGUCCAGAUAUUCCUCAAAGAAGAAGAAGGUGCAUAUUGUAAGGCAGAAGAGCCUGUGCUGGUCUCACUUGUCCCAGUGCUUCUCAAAGAAGAACAUGUGCUUGAUGAAUCGCCGGAGGACUUUGAAGUUGGCAGUCACCCAUUGCUAAUAAAUCCGAGCCAAAUAUGGAAGUUACUGUGAAGUGCCUGCAGGAUGACUGCAAUUUUUUUCAACGUCUUGGCAAAUUUGAGAACACUGCUGCAAAAGCACAUGCUUGCAGAGGAGAAAGGAAAGUUUAUAUUCCAGACAAUGGAUGGUAAGUAACUUUGUAUAAUAAUUUUAUGAUGUGCAAGAAAAGUAAAGUGUCUGGUAAAUCUACAGAAUUUCCUUCUUUGUGGCUAUAGUAUUCUGAUGCACUGUGUUACCCUGUAAAGUUUCUUUCAGUACAACUAUGAGGAUUAUUUGUGGUAACAGCAUAUUAUCAUAAGAAAUGGCU